rnacentral:rRNA from 1 species
UACUUAGUGGCGGACGGGUGAGUAACGCGUGGGUAACCUGCCUCAUACAGGGGGAUAACAGUUAGAAAUGACUGCUAAUACCGCAUAAGACCACAGUACCGCAUGGUACAGGGGUAAAAACUCCGGUGGUAUGAGAUGGACCCGCGUCUGAUUAGGUAGUUGGUGGGGUAACGGCCUACCAAGCCGACGAUCAGUAGCCGACCUGAGAGGGUGACCGGCCACAUUGGGACUGAGACACGGCCCAA